rnacentral:rRNA from 1 species
AUUGAACGCUGGCGGCAGGCCUAACACAUGCAAGUCGAACGGUAACAGGAAGCAGCUUGCUGCUUCGCUGACGAGUGGCGGACGGGUGAGUAAUGUCUGGGAAGCUGCCUGAUGGAGGGGGAUAACUACUGGAAACGGUAGCUAAUACCGCAUAAUGUCGCAAGACCAAAGAGGGGGACCUUCGGGCCUCUUGCCUUCGGAUGUGCCCAGAUGGGAUUAGCUUGUUGGUGGGGUAACGGCUCACCAAGGCGACGAUCCCUAGCUGGUCUGAGAGGAUGACCAGCCACACUGGAACUGAGACACGGUCCAGACUCCUACGGGAGGCAGCAGUGGGGAAUAUUGCACAAUGGGCGCAAGCCUGAUGCAGCCAUGCCGCGUGUAUGAAGAAGGCCUUCGGGUUGUAAAGUACUUUCAGCGGGGAGGAAGGGAGUAAAGUUAAUACCUUUGCUCAUUGACGUUACCCGCAGAAGAAGCACCGGCUAACUCCGUG